AGGAGAGCCCCUCCAUCUUCCAGAAGACGCUGGCGGGCUGUGGUCGGCGCCUGCUGGGGGAGACACCGAACGCGGCCUGGGGAGUGGAAGGACAUGGUGAGAAGAUGGCCAUCUGCAGACCAGGAAGAGCCAGCCCCUCACCAGACACCAGAUGUGCCAGCACCUUGACCUUGGACUUCAGCCUCCAGAACUUCCCUGCGCUGAGCCCUGGAGCUACGGAGAUGAUUAAGACGUGGUUGGGCAGCGAUGGAGGGGACCACUCAGUGCAAUACGGGAGACAGAUGAGAGCUUUUCAGUGCACAUCAGGUGGUCAUGCAUCGAAGAGAGAAGAGAUCAGAUGGGGGUACUCACUGCUUAGUCACUACGUGGAUAAUCACUCAGCAGUAUGCUGGCACUCAGAGAAUUCUGGUCAUUGUAGUUUAAACAUUUUUUUUCUCAAAUCAGAUAUUUUUAAGGCGUACCCACCUGGCCUGUUGAUUUAAAGUAGGAUAUAAGAGAAAUUCUGAGGCUGAACUAUGCAUCACUGAGAGGCAUGACAAUUCUGCAAAGGAGGCUCAAGAUGGUCCUUCCCCACGUCCAUCUGAUCAGAAUUCUGCUUUGGCACAUCCCGCAUUUCAAAAUGAAUGUUAGAAAGAGAAGCUUUUAUUAAGAACUCUCAAACUCAGUGGUAAAGAAACAAACAGUCCCAUUAAGAAAUGGGCAGAAGACAGUAAGAGCCAUUUCGCUAGAGAAGAGAGCCAGAUGGCAGAUAUACCCAUGAAAAGAUGCUCACCGUCAUUAACUAGGAGGGAAAUGCAAAUUAAAACCAUAAUGAGAUUUCACUACAACGUCAUCAGCAUGGCCAAAAUAAAAAACAGUGACAACACCAAAUGCUGGCAGGGAUGCAGAGAAAGUGGAUGGUUCCCACAUUGCUGGUGGGAAUGUCACACGGUGCAGCCACUCUGGAAAACAGUUUGGCAGUUUCUUAGAAACUAAAUAUACACGUACCAUAUAAUCCUGCAACUGCCCUGUGGGCAGUUAUUUCAGAGAAAUGAAAAACAUACAACAACCUGCACGAGAAUGUUCACAGAAGCUUUAUUUACGGGCGCCUGGGCAGUUCAGUCGGUUAGGUGUCCAGCUUUGGUGCAGGUUAUGAUCUCACCAUUUGUGAGUUUGAGCCCUGCAUUGGGCUCCGUAUCUGGGCUGACAGAGCUCUCUUUCUGUCUCUCAAAAAAGUUUUAUUUCGAUGAGUCCCAAACUGGAAAGAACCCAGUGUCCUUCAGUGAGUGAAUUACUAAGCAGAGUUUGGUACCUCCGUACCACAGAAUAGUAUUCAGCAAUAAAAAGGAGGAACCUGUUGAUACAAAUAACACACUGAAUAGAUUUCAAGGGAAUUAUCCUGAGUUUAAAAAGUCAGUCUCAAAAGACUAUAUAUGGUAUGGUUACAUUUAUAUAAGAUUCUUGAAAUAACAAAAUCAUAGAGGACAGAC